rnacentral:rRNA from 1 species
AGGGUCUUCGGACCGCUGACGACCGGCGCACGGGUGCGUAACGCGUAUACAAUCUACCUUAUAGAGGGGGAUAGCCCGGGGAAACCCGGAUUAAUACCCCAUAGUAUUAUUGAAUAGCAUUAUUUAAUAAUUAAACAUUUAUGGCUAUAAGAUGAGUAUGCGUCCUAUUAGUUAGUUGGUAAGGUAACGGCUUACCAAGACUGCGAUAGGUAGGGGUCCUGAGAGGGAGAUCCCCCACACUGGUACUGAGACACGGACCAGACUCCUGCGGGAGGCAGCAGUGAGGAAUAUUGGACAAUGGGCGGGAGCCUGAUCCAGCCAUGCCGCGUGCAGGAAGACGGCGUUCUGCGUUGUAAACUGCUUUUAUACGGGAAGAAAAUGCCACUGCGGUGGAACUUGCCGGUACCGUAUGAAUAAGCACCGGCUAACUCCGUGCCAGCAGCCGCGGUAAUACGGAGGGUGCAAGCGUUGUCCGGAUUUAUUGGGUUUAAAGGGUGCGUAGGCGGCCUGUUAAGUCAGCGGUGAAAGUUUAUGGCUCAACCAUGAAAUUGCCGUUGAUACUGGUGGGCUUGAGUGUUGAUGGGGUACAUGGAAUUUAUGGUGUAGCGGUGAAAUGCAUAGAUACCAUAAGGAACACCGAUAGCGAAGGCAUUGUACUUAUCAACAACUGACGCUGAGGCACGAAAGCGCGGGUAGCGAACAGGAUUAGAUACCCUGGUAG